rnacentral:rRNA from 1 species
UGGGGAAUAUUGGACAAUGGGGGCAACCCUGAUCCAGCAAUGCCGCGUGUGUGAAGAAGGUCUUCGGAUUGUAAAGCACUUUCGACGGGGACGAUGAUGACGGUACCCGUAGAAGAAGCCCCGGCUAACUUCGUGCCAGCAGCCGCGGUAAUACGAAGGGGGCUAGCGUUGCUCGGAAUGACUGGGCGUAAAGGGCGUGUAGGCGGUUUACACAGUCAGAUG